rnacentral:rRNA from 1 species
GCGCAGCAGGCGAGAAACCUCCGCAAUGCUCGAAAGAGCGACGGGGGGACUCCAAGUGCCUACGCUUUGCGUAGGCUUUUCCCAAGCCUAAAAAGCUUGGGGAAUAAGGGCUGGGUAAGACGGGUGCCAGCCGCCGCGGUAAUACCCGCAGCCCGAGUGGUGGCCGCUUUUAUUGGGCCUAAAGCAUCCGUAGCCGGUCUGGUAAAUGCCUGGGUAAAUCGUCUGGCUCAACCAGACGAAUUCCGGGGAGACUGCCAGACUAGGGGACCGGAGGAAGGAGAGGGUACUCCGGGGGUAGGGGUGAAAUCAGCAAGGUGAGUUGUUGACGUAACUUGCCUUGCAAGUCACAAUCCUGUAAUCCUCGGAGGACCACCGGUGGCGAAGGCUCUCUCCUAGGACGGGUCCGACGGUGAGGGACGAAAGCCAGGGGAGCAAACCGGAUUAGAUACCCCUGUAGU